AACAAUAAAUCUACACGUAGAGAUUCUCAAGAAGGAGACAAAUUACAAAAUUUUAAAAUUUUAAAAAUGAAAUCUGGAGUACAAAAUUAUAUAACUGAAGUGAAAUAUCCACUAGAGGUGGUUAAGAGAAUACUCAAGUAGGCAGAAGACACAAUAUGUAAACUUGGAAACAGAAUCACAGAAUUUAUCAAAUCAGAAUAAUAGACAGAAAAAGAAUGAAAAAAAAUCAGAGCUUGGAGACCUGUGAGACAAAAUAAACCACACCAACGUACAUAUAAUGGCACUCACAGAAGAAGAGAAAAGGAAGAAGAAGGAAAUCUGUUUGAAAAAGUAAUGGCCACAACUCCCCAAAUUUGUUGAGAAAUACUAAUCUACACAUCUAAUAAGCUAAACAAGCACUUAUUAGUGUAUAUAAAAAGAGAUCCACAUGUAGACACAUCAUAGGCAACGUGCUGAAACCCAGGAAUGCAUGAAAACACAAUACUUCAAAAUUUAUAACAUGUUGGUAAAACAAUGCCUAGGGGGAAAUUUAUGACUUUAAAUGCUGUAUCAAAAGAAGAUCUAAAAUCAACCAUGAAAAAGCAAAACAAGCUAAACCCAGCCCAAGCCGAGUAAAGGAAGUAAUAAAAAUUGAAAUGGAAAUAAUUGAAAUAGAAAACAGAAAACAAGAGAAAAACAUCAAUGAACACAAAAGUCAGUUCUUUGAAAAUAUCAACAAAUUUUACAAACCUCAAGGUAGAAGUACCAAGAAGAAUGAGAGAAGACACAAAUUAACAAAGUCAAGAAAAAAAGGAAGAACAUCACUACCAAUCUUACAGAAAUUAAAAAGGAUUAUAGGGAAAUAGUAUAAAUAAUUUAUGUCAACAAACUAGAUAACUUAGAAGAAACUGAUGAAUUCCAAUAAAGGCACAAAUUACCAAAAUAGGCUCAAGAAUAAGUAAAAUAUCUGAAUAGACCUAUAUUUAAUAAGCAAAGAAGUUAAAUUAGUAAUCAAAAUCUUCCCGCAAAGAAAAUCUCUGGCCCCGACGGUUUCAUUGGAAAAUCUACCAAACAUUUAAAGAAGGAAUAAUAUUUAUCCUUCACAAUGAUUCAUUCAGAAAAUACAGGGGUUGGGAACUCUUCCCAAUGUGUUCUCUGAGACCAGCAUUACACUGACAUCAAAGCCAAAGUCAUAAUAAGAAAUAUAUGGACCAGUAGGUACAAAAUCAUGAGUUUAGGUAGAAAAAUCCUGAAGAAAAUAUUAGCAAAUUGAAUCCAGAAACAUACAUAAUGGAUUAUAAACAUGGUCAAGUGAGAUUCAUCCCAGAUGUAAACAGUUGAUUUAACAAUCAAAAAUCAAUUAAUCUCAUAACCAUAUUAACUGAAUAUAUAACAAAAACCACAUGAUCCUCUCAAUGGAUAUAAAUGAAUCAUUUGAAAAAUCCAAUUCCCAUUCAUGAUAAAAACUGUCCACACACUAGGAAUAUAAUGGAACUUCCUCCACCUGAUAGAGGGCAUCUGUGAAAACCCACAGCUACCAUCACACUUCAGGUUGAAAGACUGAAUGCUUUUCCCCAAAGACCAGGAACAAGACAAGGACGUCUGCUCUUGCCAUUUCUAUUCAACAUUGUAUUGGAGGAUGUAGAUUCUGCAAAAAGAAAAAAACAAAACUAAAGAUACCCAGCAG
ensembl:lncRNA